UGGGGAAUAUUCCACAAUGGGCGCAAGCCUGAUGCAGCCAUGCCGCGUGUAUGAAGAAGGCCUUCGGGUUGUAAAGUACUUUUAGCGGGGAGGAAGGGCGUACAGUUAAUACCUUUGCACCUUGACGUUACCCGCAGAAGACGCACCGGCUAAUUCCGUGCCAGCAGCCGCGGUAAUACGGAGGGUGCAAGCGUUAAUCGGAAUUACUGGGCGUAAAGCGCACGCAGGCGGUUUGUUAAGUCAGAUGUGAAAUCCCCGGGCUCAACCUGGGAACUGCAUCUGAUACUGGCAAGCUUGAGUCUCGUAGAGGGGGGUAGAAUUCCAAGUGUAGCGGUGAAAUGCGUAGAGAUCUGGAAGAAUACCGGUGGCGAAGGCGGCCCACUGGGCGGAGACUGACGCUCAGGUGCGAAAGCGUGGGGAGCAAACGGG
rnacentral:rRNA from 1 species